rnacentral:lncRNA from 1 species
GCGACGGUAGCAUAUUCAAUUUUUGUACUCGCAGGGGAAUAGGUUUGGAAGUGAGGUGUCUUCUCCGAUGACUUUAUUGGUGCCGAUGUCGUGCGAUGCUCAUUAGUGUCGUUGAGCAAGGUCAACAUGCCGCACACUUCAGGAGGUGCGCGGGAACGGAAACACUUUAUGAAUACGGAACAAAUGUAUGCUAAAGAAAAAUGAUCGUCAUGUAAUUUCACAACACUAUACCCUUGUGAGAGCUCUACAGUGCAGAUUCGUAACGAUUCUGAGGUGCUUGUGCGCUACGGGGACGAAAGUUGUUAGCGCCGUUCGUCCCUAGCCGAGCUGGCAGCACAGAAUCGACAGAAUGCGUACCGGCAAGGCGAAGAAGCCGUGUCCGAGGUGUCCAUGCUCCUGCAGUCCUGUGGUGACCCUGUGGAGCUGGAUCCGGUCUCGUGGAAACACAGCCGGCUCAUCAGUCACAAAACGAGUGGGCUGCUGCUGAGGUACCCCAGCUGGAGUCGAGAGGUGAGAAGAUGUGGCACGACGGGACAGGAACAUAAGCCUGGAGGGAAAGCCGCGAGCAAAGCCAUGGUCGGUGCUCUGGUGGACGGCCUGCAGAUGAACACCAGCUGCAGACGUUGAGCCGUAGGCUCAGGAACACCAGACACAGGCAGGAGCCCGGACCCACGGGCUGACGGGCUGCUUCUUCCGUCGUGGCUGUCUUCUUCGCUCACUUUCCUCUCUCACAAUGGCGCCUCUCCAGCAUUCCACGUGACGAGGUUCUCUGUAGAUUCUUCUUUUUCUUUCGCCUUUUCUGGGUGCCAAUGCACGGUCAUGCUCGUGCCUUCAUCGUCGUAUUUGCCUUUGUUGUAAUGCAGCACGUGCAGCUCAUGAUAGCCAUACAUUUCAGAGGUCCACAUACAGGCUUCUGGGCAGUGGCACUACAUGGCACCAAGUGUGCUUACAGAAGGGCAAAACAGGAGCACCGCUGCAAUACAUGCCUGAUACAUAACUUGUUGCGAUGGUGGCAAUACGUUGUGUCGCUAUACUGAUUCAAUGCUAACACAUUACCAUCGACAGUCAUCGUGAGAUUGGUUCUGUAGCGAUUUUUACACUCUCCGCUUUCAUCCAUGCCACCUCACACUUCUACAACUGAGCCUAGCUUUUUUUGGAGAAACUCUUUAUUCCAUGCCUUCACUAGCACACAUGUGCAGAUAUGUACAUGGACAGAUAACAACUGUAGCAGACAAUCUGCAAUCUUAGGCAAAAGUCUACCACUUGUUCAAGAAACAUUUACAUGUCUCGAAUUUGUGUGAUUAUAUUUACGUGAUCCUGAUCCUGAUAAAGAAAUUUACAG